rnacentral:rRNA from 1 species
UACGUAGGGGGCAAGCGUUAUUCGGAAUUAUUGGGUCGUAAAGGGCGCGUAGGCGGCUUGUCAAGUCAAAGGUGAACCCCUCGGCUCAAGCUGAGGAACGGCCUUUGAAACUAGCGAGCUUGAGUCCGGGAGGGGUAGCGGAAUUCCCAGUGUAGCGGUGAAAUGCGUAGAUAUUGGGAGGAACACCAGCGGCGAAGGCGGCGCUCUGGGCCGGAACUGACGCUGAGGAGCGAAAGCGUGGGGAGCAAACAGG